rnacentral:rRNA from 1 species
UACGUAGGGUGCAAGCGUUGUCCGGAUUUAUUGGGCGUAAAGAGCUCGUAGGCGGUCUGUCGCGUCGGAUGUGAAAACCCAGGGCUCAACCCCGGGUCUGCAGUCGAUACGGGCAGGCUAGAGUGCGGUAGGGGAGACUGGAAUUCCUGGUGUAGCGGUGAAAUGCGCAGAUAUCAGGAGGAACACCGGUGGCGAAGGCGGGUCUCUGGGCCGUAACUGACGCUGAGGAGCGAAAGCGUGGGGAGCGAACAGG